UAGUAGUGGUGUAUUACAGGGAUGGGUAGGGUCAGAGGUCAGAGUCUUAGUAAUGGUGUAUUACAGGGAUGGGUAGGGUCAGGGGUCAGAGUUAGUGUUGUUGACCACAUGCAGUUCCUUGAUGUGGGAUUUAAGCUGUGUCCACUACCUGUUAGAUAGAUGGGUGUUGGAGGUAGCUUACAUGUUCUCUCAGGACUACCUGUCGUGAUGUUCCUGGAGAUGGGACUUAAGCUGUGUCCACUACCUGUUAGAUAGAUGGGUGUUGGAGGUAGCUUACAUGUUCUCUCAGGACUACCUGUCGUGAUGUUCCUGGAGAUGGGACUUAACCUGUGUCCACUACCUGUUAGAUAGAUGUGAUUUAAAAUGCGUCCACUACCUGUUAGAUAGAUGGAAUUUCAAAUUAGAACAUAACAGAAUAUUCGACAAUAUCAGUUGACAGAACAGUUACGGUCUGCUAAUUUAGCUCCACUCACCUGGAGAACAGUUACGGUCUGCUAAUUUAGCUCCACUCACCUGGAGAACAGUUACGGUCUGCUAAUUUAGCUCCACUCACCUGGAGAACAGUUACAGUCUGCUAAUUUAGCUCCACUCACCUGGAGAACAGUUACGGUCUGCUAAUUUACUCCACUCACCAGUCCAUCUAUACCGGGCCUGUCAUCAUACAGUCCAUCUAUACCAAGCCUGUCCAUUCACAGUGCCUCCCAUGCUAGACGUGUUACUGUCUGAAUAGAGAAUGACCCAGUCCUCUGCUAGAUGUGUUACUGUCUGAAUAGAGAAUGAUCCCUAGCCAGUAAGUUAGUUUCUUCAGGGUCCAGGCCUGUUCCAGUCAGAUACACACCCAGUCAAUCAGUCUAGAAAGGAAGACAGACUACAUCACAAUCCUCCUGACCCAUGUUACUAUUCAUUCUCUUAGCUUACAAUCCCUCCCUCUCCUUAACUUUAUCAAGUGCAAUUGUACUCUGUUUUUAUAUGUAUUCUAACUACCUUCACAGAACUAUUUUAAGGACUAGCUAAUUAAAUAAGGACCGCGUUCUCAGUCUCAACAUUGGAGUGAGUUGAGAUUUGCUUAACGCUUAGUACCAUGCUGACCUAAUCCACAGCACUGGAGACUAACGCUCUGUGUCUGUCUCAGUAUGACUGGAGUCUCUUCUGACAAGUCCUCUUGUCUGCUUAGAGCAAAAAUGGUUUUCAUUCGCAAUACCACAGAGACCUGUCUUAGUUGAGUCAGAGACACAGAGCCAUAACUGAGGGUGAUUGAUAUCCUACAGAAUAAGACUGAAGAUGCCAUAACUACAGGUCUUAAUGGGCGGUGUUUGGAAACAGACACUGAUUGGUCUACGGUGUAGCUAUCAGUCCUUAAAGGGUUCUAGGGGGUUAUUAUUGAAGAUGUUUGUGAUAUUAACUUAGUAGCACAUAAGAUGCCACACUAUCUGCAUGUGUUAGGAUGUCCUUUUAAUAUAUAUAUCUAUGAUAUAUUCUGAUACUAUUGCCUUUCACCAAACUGGUAUAACCAAGAGAAAAUUAUCACAUUUAUUUUACAAAACUGGUGAGAAUUGAAGUACCUCAGACACCACUAGAGUAUUUUUGUAAUGCUGUGAAUUGAACAGAGAAAAAGCUAAGAGUCAAUCUUUUUCUCACACAAUUGAAUAAAUAAGCAAAACAGAGAAAUGUUGUGAGACGUGAUGUUUCUCUGGUCCAGCAGUGCCUUGGCCCGUUACUAUACGGCUAAGAAAUAAUCCUGUUCAGAGCUCCAGCCCCCUCUAGUCUACAUUCUACUGCUACUGUACAUGACGGGGCUGGAGGCUGAGGAACCGUCCUGAAACGGUAUUUGGUGAAAGGAACCGUCCUGAAACAGCCUGGGUCUAUUUGGACCAUCAUGCCACUCCUUGCCGGUUUGGCAUGACAAGGAGUUGAGAUGAUGACAAACAGAUCUGGGACCAGCUAUCUUAAACAGUGUUGGUGAAAGGACUGAAUCAAUGGAAUUGUUCUUUAAGCAAUGUGUUACUCAGCCAAAGGGGGCAGUAAGCCCCAGGGGAAGGGGAGGUCACUCGAGGGCUCACACCGUUUCAACUAGUAAAUACAUGAUACAAAGCCACAAUGAUUCUGAAUGGAAACCGGGGUCCUCGUGGUUCUGGUUUCAAAGCUGUUGUCAAAAAUGAGGAUGAUGAGUUAGUGGUUAAAGUAGAGCAGCCUACCCUGUCCUAAUGGUUAACUUAGUGGUUAAAGUAGAGUAGCCUACCCUGUCCUAGUGGUUAACUUAGUGGUUAAAGUAGAGCAGCCUACCCUGUCCUAGUGGUUAAAGUAGAGCAGCUUCCCUGUACUAGUGGUUAACUUAGUGGUUAAAGUAGAGCAGCCUACCCUGUCCUAAUGGUUAACUUA
ensembl:lncRNA